UACGGAGGGGGCUAGCGUUUGUUCGGAAUUACUGGGCGUAAAGGGUGCGUAGGUGGCGCUGUAAGUCGGGUGUGAAAUUUCGGAGCUUAACUCCGAAACUGCAUUCGAUACUGCGGUGCUUGAGGACUGGAGAGGAGACUGGAAUUUCAUGGUGUAGCAGUGAAAAUGCGUAGAGAUCAUGAGGAAGACCAGUGGCGAAGGCGGGUCUCUGGACAGUUCCUGACACUGAGGCACGAAAGGCCAGGGGGAGCAAAACGGG
rnacentral:rRNA from 1 species